CACAUACUCUCCUCCAAAAAUUUACAAACUUUACCAACAGAAAAAACCGAAAAACAUCCAAAAAUAUUCCAUUGAUGAAGCUCAGAUGAGAUCAUCACCUCCGGCAAAUCCAUCUACAAUGUCAUCAUUAUCUUCUUCUUCCUCAAAGAAACAAGCCCUUUUCAUUACUUCCCUUAUUGUCCUCUGGUACUCCUCCAACAUUGGUGUUUUGCUUCUCAACAAGUUCUUGCUUUCUAACUAUGGCUUCAGGUUCCCAAUCUUCCUCACCAUGUGCCACAUGUCUGCUUGUGCCAUUCUCAGUUA
rnacentral:misc_RNA from 1 species